rnacentral:rRNA from 1 species
AGUGAACGCUGGCGGUAGGCCUAACACAUGCAAGUCGAACGGCAGCACAGUAAGAGCUUGCUCUUACGGGUGGCGAGUGGCGGACGGGUGAGGAAUACAUCGGAAUCUACUUUUUCGUGGGGGAUAACGUAGGGAAACUUACGCUAAUACCGCAUACGACCUACGGGUGAAAGCAGGGGAUCUUCGGACCUUGCGCGAUUGAAUGAGCCGAUGUCGGAUUAGCUAGUUGGCGGGGUAAAGGCCCACCAAGGCGACGAUCCGUAGCUGGUCUGAGAGGAUGAUCAGCCACACUGGCACUGAGACACGGUCCAGACUCCUACGGGAGGCAGCAGUGGGGAAUAUUGGACAAUGGGCGCGAGCCUGAUCCAGCCAUACCGCGUGGGUGAAGAAGGCCUUCGGGUUGUAAAGCCCUUUUGUUGGGAAAGAAAAGCAGCAGGUUAAUACCCCGCUGUUCUGACGGUACCCAAAGAAUAAGCACCGGCUAACUUCGUG